CCCUGGGUGGCUCAGUCGGUUGAGCAUCUGCCUUCAGCUCAGGUCAUGAUCCCAGGGCCCUGGGAUCAAGUCCCACAUCAGGGA
rnacentral:tRNA from 1 species